UGCGUAGGUGGGCUGUUAAGUCCGCGGUGAAAGUUUGUCGCUUAACGAUAAAAUUGCCGUUGAAACUGGUAGUCUUGAGUAUAGAUGAAGUAGGCGGAAUGCGUGGUGUAGCGGUGAAAUGCAUAGAGAUCACGCAGAACUUCGAUUGCGAAGGCAGCUUACUAAGGUAUAACUGACACUGAAGCACGAAAGCGUGGGUAUCAAACA
rnacentral:rRNA from 1 species